CUUUAAAAUCUUAACCCUAAAUGCUAACCAUUUUGCCUCUCUCUUCCUACCUUUUGUGUCUCUUUCACUUCCUCGCUCUUUUCCCCCUCCUCCCUCUCUCUUGACCUCUUUCCCCCCUCAUCCGUCUCUACUUCUCAGUUAUUUAUUUUGUUUAUGGGUUUUCCUCUUUUCUGUUAUGGUUUUGUUGGCCUUCGGUGGCAUUGUCAAUGGGGCUUCUAAGUUUGGCCUCUUUGCAUGGUCGACGAAACCGUUUGCAUGGGGAAAUCGGAAUUGCUCCUCAACACGCCUCACAGUGACGGAACUGUUUACUCUGUCUCCGUCGAGUGGGAAAGAGACAGCGAGUUGGUGGUUCCCAAGCCGAGUGAGUUCUGCUUGCAUUUUGAUUUCGUCGUAGACAAAGCAGCAGCAGCGGAAUAAAAUGGAGGCAAAGUGACUCUUGAGUUUGGAUUGCAGUUCGCAGAGAGAGAGAGCGGACAUGCUGACUGCAUGGGGUUUCUCUACAUUGUCACAUGCCUCCCCUUCUCCUCCAUGUUUUUUCUCAAAUCGACUCCAAUAUCCGUCACGUCCCACCUUUGUCUCUGUCUCUCUAUUAACAUACCAGAUCACCUGUAAACUAACGGAUUCCAAUUUCAUCUUCUCUCUCUGAUUCUCUUUAGGCAUGGGGUUUCUUUACAUUUUCAUCCGCCUCUGCUUCUCCUUCGUGUUUUUUUUUCUAAAACCGACUCCAUUACCUGUCACGGCUUCACCACCUUUGUCUCUCUGUUACCCCUACUAGAUCACCCGUUAACAACUGAUUCCAGUUCCAUCUUCUCUCUGCUUCUUUGUAGUUUCGUUUCGCCUGUACUUGGUUGGGGGUUAGCAUGGGUUUUUUUUUUCAUGUCUUUCUUGUUAGUAGACUAUUUUAUUGUUUUUUCACGGCUUCACCAUCUAUGUUUAUUGUAGAAUAUUACCUUCUGAAGCGUUUCUCUCAAUAUGCCCUCUACUUUGUUGUUGUGGCAACCAUUGCUGCCUUUAUAGGGCAACAUGUAGUGAAGAGGCUUAUAUUAGGGGGGCAUCCCUCAUCAUCUUCAUCCUCUCCAUCACAAUCUUUGUCACUGCAAUCUCACCAGGUCUGUGCCUUAUCAAAAGGGCAGUCCUGUUUCUUCCAGUUAUUUCACAAAUCCUACUCAAAUGCCAUCACAAACAAUGGAUACCAUACGCCUGAAAUGCACCCAGGCAUCAGAAUAUGAAGAUGCUGAAUCUGAUAAUUGCCAAGCAAGUUCCAGAUACCACUCUUUUUUUGAGUCACAAGAAUGUGAAGGCGGUGCUGUGAUGAACAAGUUGGACACUGGCCUGCUGAACUCGUACCAUCCAGUGGACUGUCAAAGUAAAAAAAGAAAAAAAAAAAAACUUCCAUAUAUCUUCCCCCCUCCUCUUCUGGUGUAUUUCUCAUCUGUUGCAGCCAUAUGGCAUGAAUGUAUUUGUGUGUGUGGAUGUUUAGCACCAUAUUUAGAUUCAUGAAUGUAUUUCUCUGUGUUAUAUCCGUCUUCCUUAAGUUCUCUUUGUUUGGUGAUUCCAGGUGGUCUAAGGUUGCACAACAUCUACCGGGAAGAACAGACAAUGAAAUCAAGAAUUAAUGGAGAACAAGGGUGCAGAAACAAGCAAGGCAUCUCAAGAUUGAUGCUAACAGCAUGACGUUUAGGGAUGCCCAGAUUGCUUCAGAAGGUGGAAGAAUCUUCUUCAGCCAUGAAGACUCAAAAUUCGUCGACUCUUCUACACCACUCAAUCAGACCUCUCAUGCAUCAACUCUCCCACCACCACCACCUCUAGAGGGGUCAAUCAGAAUCAGCAGAGCAAUUAACAGUUUCGAUCAUGAGAAGAAUUCAAACCCAGAGAAUUAUUGUACCAGCCCAAGCAUAUUUUCUUCGGAUUCCAUGAUGAGCAUUGAUGAUGCACAAUCUGGUCGGUCUUAGCUGUUGAUGAUCGUGCCUCUGAAAUGAGUAACAGGGACCUAAAACAGGAGGAGAAGAGAAGGUCCGGGGAGAACCCGGCGUAAGGGCUCCGAAGCUUAA